rnacentral:lncRNA from 1 species
UCAGAUGGUGUGGAUGUGGAUGGUCUCCUAACUCAGACUCCCUUGACUCUGUGGAAUCCCAUACGAUGAAGAGUCCCCUCACCCAUGUGAUCAGUAUGAUGAAGUGAGCGAGAGGGUUCCCCCUCAGGGAUAGGGACCUCUAACUCCCUAAAGAUGAGUGUGAAUAGCAUGCCAUACGGGAGACUCAACCUAGGUUUAUCUAGGGGUUCACAGAUAUAUUUGUAGAUGAGUUUAGAAAAGUUGAUGGGAGUGUCUUGGAGAAUAUGGA